CACCUUCAGGAUCUUGGAGCCGUCCACCCUGUAGCGGGUGCGCUUGCCGACAAUCUCGGUGGGGUGGACCAAGUCGUCCAACACAGCCUCAUGCACCUGCAGUCAACAUUUUGAGAGGCAGCGUUACCACCUGACCGUCUUGUCAACCUUGCACAUGCUGUCAACCCACUAAUACCAGUGUGUGUGGACAACAACUUACCAGCUGCAGUCACAGGGUCUGUUCAUGCUUCUGCUCAGCUGCCCCCAGGAGGAAGGUGCAGCAAAUAGUAGACCUUUCCUCCCUUUCCUGCCUUUCCUGCCUGCGCUUGCCAAGAUUUCUCAACACCAGGCUGUAUCAAGAUGCAUGGAAUGCAUUGAAACAGGACUCCUGGCUCAUACUCUCUGAACUGUGUGUGGCAGCAGGCACCCUUCUGGUUAAGGUACAAGCUGCCUGAAGCAAGGUCCAACCCCGCAACCUUUUCCUUCUCUUUCCUUGCAGGGUGGCAACACUGCAUGUCUAAUUCUAACUCGAGGAAAAACGUUUAUUCCCAGGCAGCAUUCUCUGAUAUCUACUGUUGGGGACAUAUUCAGCUGAGCCAGCAACUUCUGUCACAAACCUACAGCACAGUCCCCCCCAACGCUGCCAGACCCAUGGGAGCAUAAUAAUCCUUGCUUUCCUCUCUUGACUUUUAAGGUAAAAUUAAAGCAAAGCAUGCAAUGUUCAACGAGUGUACGUGAUGGUCCAUGCAUGCUGGAGCAGAGAGCACCUUCUGCAAGCCAAGGAGGCCUGUCACUGUCAAGCUACACCAUUACAGAAGCUCAUGCUGUAGCUGUGAUGAAGUUCAAGGGAGAUUCUUCUGAGUGGAUGCAUGCAUGGCUCAUUGUUCACACGCACACACACACACACACACACACACACACACACACACACACACACACACACACACACACACACACACACACACAGGCAUGGCUUGCACACUCGGAUUGCAGACAGAGACAAUCUGGCAUCCUUGCAAUUGAGAUGCUUGCUUGCCUUUGCUACCUCACAAAGAUGAGGGCAGUGAUUCAAAAGUCUGAAGUAGCAUCCUUACAAUGAAGCUGCCCUGCGUUUGCUAAACUUCCUUUAUGACCAAACUUUUGUGUAUUUGCUAGACUGAUUGGGACCAGAGAAAAGCCAUUGCUCAUGAAAACUUCGGUACAGUCGAGAACAAGAAAACUGGCAGGUCCUCAAGAUGAGCUUGAAGGGGCAAGUUCUGGACCGAAGGAAUUGUUGCUGCACUCCCUCUCUACAGCAAGCUGGACAUGUGCACACGCAAGCACAAAUAUUUCUUGCAUGCCAUGCAGGACAUGGGGAACAACACAUUCAACCACUGUGCCUCAACAUCCCCACUUCUGGUUCCAGGAGAUUUGGAAGGAGCAACUUUGGGUCUCAUGGCACUAUCGCUGCUGCUGUGGACACGGAUGACAUGGGCUAACUGAAGGCAAUGGAUUGAAAAGCGAUACUGCUCCUUCCGAAAAUCAUUUACCUUACCCGCACUUACUCAGUGCACACCCUUUUUCAAAAAUCGGAUUCACGUCCGCGCCACUUAAGCACACCUGACAGAAAUUAUAUUUUUUUUGUACGCAUGCUUACGCAGUGCCCAAAGGGCCUGAGCCCACACAGAUGAACCAGCACACACACACACACACACACACACACACACACACACACACACACACACACACACACAAAACAAACACACACAGAGAACACCCCGCGCAGUGGAGCUCCAGCAUUUAUGCACACAAGCAUAUAUGCUUGUACACAAUAUUCGCAUGUACCCAAGCACAUGCAAAUGCGAAUGCUCAUGCAUGCGCACCCUUGCAUUAAUGUUCACAAGUGAAUGGGCCUAAGACGUGCAUGCACGAGCACCAAGGGGGCCCCCCCACACAGGCUUGUCAUCGCUGGACUGGAACUCGCCGCGAGGAGGAGAAGACCGCUGCUCCUGCAGCUGCUGCCGCUGCUCACUGCCUUGCCCGCUUAUCGCUACCAAAAAAAAACUUUUUUUCCGCUGAUCUAUGCGUUCGCACCGCUUCAGAUAAUUAUUUUUUCACCAAUUUCUGAGCAGCACCCAAAAAAGUUAUUUUUGCACAAUGACAUGUUAAUACAAGUACGGUACAUACCGCAUGUCCCCAUCGAUAACUCAAGGCCCCAUGCACACAAUACUUAAAGAUCCCCAUGCAUGCGUCCAUACAUGCGUAUGCACAUGUGCUCUUGCACGCAUGCGUGCUCUGCCCUGCAUGCACCCACGAACAUCCACAUGCGCGCACACACACACACACACACACACACACACACACACACACACACACACACACACACACACACACACACACACACGUAGCCUCAACUCACCGCAGUCAAGGUGCGCGAGCGUGGCCUGGAGAUGGACUUGCCGUUCUUGGGGGGUGGCAUGAUGCGUCGGGUGCCAAUGAACACCACGUCCUUGCCGCUGAACUUCUUCUCCAGCUCACGCACCAGGCGGGGCUGGAUUUUGUGGAAAGCCUUCAGGAGGC
rnacentral:lncRNA from 1 species